AGUGUCUGUGUCUGCCAUAAUGUCUCCCAGUGUCCCUUAGUGUCUCAGUGUCUGCCAUAAUGUCUCCCAAUGUCCCUUAGUGUCUCAGUGUCUGCCAUAAUGUCUCCCAGUGUCUCUUAGUGUCUCAGUGUCUGCCAUGUCUCCCAAUGUCCCUUAGUGUCUCAGUGUCUGCCAUAAUGUCUCCCAAUGUCCCUUAGUGUC